CUUGCUAGUUGGAGCGCAGGAAUCGACGGAACCCUUCGGGGGGAAGUCGAUGGAAUGAGCGGCGGACGGGUGAGUAACACGUAAAGAACCUGCCCUCAGGUCUGGGAUAACCACGAGAAAUCGGGGCUAAUACCGGAUGGGUCAUCGGACCGCAUGGUCCGAGGAUGAAAGGCGCUUCGGCGUCGCCUGGGGAUGGCUUUGCGGUGCAUUAGCUAGUUGGUGGGGUAAUGGCCCACCAAGGCGACGAUGCAUAGCCGACCUGAGAGGGUGAUCGGCCACACUGGGACUGAGACACGGCCCAGACUCCUACGGGAGGCAGCAGUAGGGAAUCUUCCACAAUGGACGAAAGUCUGAUGGAGCAACGCCGCGUGAACGAUGAAGGCCUUCGGGUCGUAAAGUUCUGUUGUAAGGGAAGAACAAGUGCCGCAGGCAAUGGCGGCACCUUGACGGUACCUUGCGAGAAAGCCACGGCUAACUACGUGCCAGCAGCCGCGGUAAUACGUAGGUGGCAAGCGUUGUCCGGAAUUAUUGGGCGUAAAGCGCGCGCAGGCGGCCUCUUAAGUCUGAUGUGAAAGCCCCCGGCUCAACCGGGGAGGGCCAUUGGAAACUGGGAGGCUUGAGUAUAGGAGAGAAGAGUGGAAUUCCACGUGUAGCGGUGAAAUGCGUAGAGAUGUGGAGGAACACCAGUGGCGAAGGCGACU
rnacentral:rRNA from 1 species